GCCGUGGCCUGGGUGGUUAAAGCGUCCGUUUCACAUGCGAGAGGUCGUGGGUUCUAACCCCGUCUGAGUCA